rnacentral:rRNA from 1 species
GACGAACGCUGGCGGCGUGCUUAACACAUGCAAGUCGAACGGAAAGGCCCUGCUUUUGUGGGGUGCUCGAGUGGCGAACGGGUGAGUAACACGUGAGUAACCUGCCCUUGACUUUGGGAUAACUUCAGGAAACUGGGGCUAAUACCGGAUAGGAGCUCCUGCUGCAUGGUGGGGGUUGGAAAGUUUCGGCGGUUGGGGAUGGACUCGCGGCUUAUCAGCUUGUUGGUGGGGUAGUGGCUUACCAAGGCUUUGACGGGUAGCCGGCCUGAGAGGGUGACCGGCAACAUUGGGACUAAGAUACGGCCCAGACUCCUACGGGCGGCAGCGGUGGGGAGUAUUGCGCAAUGAGCGGGAGCCUGAUGCAGCAACGCCGCGUGCGGAAUGACGGCCUUCGGGUUGUAAACCGCUUUCGCCUGUGACGAGGCGUGAGUGACGGUAAUGGGUAAAGAAGCACCGGCUAACUACGUG